ACGCGAAAGCUCCCUUCGGGGAGCAAGUAGAGUGGCGCACGGGUGAGUAACACGUAGGUAAUCUACCUUUGGAUGGGGAAUAACAACCGGAAACGGUUGCUAAUACCGCAUAAUGCAGCGGCACCUAAUGGUGACAGUUGUUAAAGCGGGGGAUCGAAAGACCUCGCGUCUGAAGAGGAGCCUGCGGCAGAUUAGCUAGUUGGUAAGGUAACGGCUUACCAAGGCGAUGAUCUGUAGCCGGCCUGAGAGGGCGGUCGGCCUCACUGACACUGACAUACGGGUCAGACUCCUACGGGAGGCAGCAGUCGGGAAUUUUGGGCAAUGGGCGAAAGCCUGACCCAGCAACGCCGCGUGAAGGAUGAAAUCCCUCGGGAUGUAAACUUCGCAAGAACGGGAAGAAUAAGUAAGGGUUAAUAUCCCUUACGAUGACGGUACUGUUUGUAAGCUCCGGCUAACUCCGUGCCAGCAGCCGCGGUAAUACGGGGGGAGCAAGCGUUG
rnacentral:rRNA from 1 species